AUUUAACUGUAUCAUAUUUCAGUUAUUUUCUUUUUAUUUUCACCUUCCGCAAUGUGAGCAUACGUCUUUAUAAGCUUUAAUUUUUCCCCACGUUUUUCACAAGUUUAAUUAUCAUUUCGUUUGAAAUCGAUCGUAUCACAACAAAUUAAAAAAAAGAAUACAAAUAAAUUCGCCGUUUAAAUUAUGACAACCUUGUUUUCAGAAGUGAAUGUUCAAAGAAUAAACAUAUUGUAUACUCUGAGUACGGUUUACUUGUGUGUUAUGAUGUGACUGUGAAGGGGUGUCAUGUUCCGUAUAUAUAUUAUUAUAUUCGUUACAUUCAUAUCAUUACUUCAGCAGAGUACAGGCCAGAAUUCCACUAAGCUGAACCAAAACAGCACUAAACUAGGCCAGAAUUCCGCUAAGCUGAACCAAAACAGCACUAAACUAGGCCAGAAUUCCACUAAGCUGAACCAAAACAGCACUAAACUAGGCCAGAAUUCCACUAAGCUGAACCAAAACAGCACUAAACUAGGCCAGAAUUCCGCUAAGCUGAACCAAAACAGCACUAAACUAGGCCAGAAUUCCACUAAGCUGAACCAAAACAGCACUAAACUAGGCCAGAAUUCCGCUAAGCUGAACCAAAACAGCACUAAACUAGGCCAGAAUUCCACUAAGCUGAACCAAAACGGCACUAAACUAGGUCGAAAUUCCGCUAAGCUGAACCAAAACGUCACUAAACUAGGCCAAAAUUCCGCUAAGCUGAACCAAAACAUCACUAAGCUAGGCCAAAAUUCCGCUAAGCUGAACCAAACUACCAUUAAACUAGGCCAGAAUUCCACUAAGCUGAACCAAAACAGCACUAAACUAGGCCAAAAUUCCGCUAAGCUGAACCGACAUACGGCUAAACUUGGCCAAAAGUCCGCUAAGCUGAACCGACAUACGGCUAAACUUGGCCAAAAAUCCGUUAAGCUAAACCAAAACUUCAGUAAUCUGGACCAGAAAUCCAUUAAGCUAGACCAGAAUUCUUAUACAAUAGGCCAGAAUUCCAUUCAGCUAAAUCGGAAUUUCACUAAGCUAGACGAAAAUUCAACUUCGCUAGGAAGGAAUUCCACUAAGCUAGACCAAAAUUCCACCAAACUCGAUCAGAAUUUCACUAAGGUGAGCCAAAAUUCCGCUAAGUCAAAGUUGAGCCUGAAUCAAAUUUCCACUAAGCUUAAGCGGAAUUCCAUUAAGCUAGACCAGGAUUCCACCAAGUUAGAUCAGAAUUCCAUUAAGCUAGACCAGAAUUCUACCAAGCAAGAACGAAAAUCCACUCCACCAUAACGUAUUCAAACUGAUGGAGAAUUUGAACCAUGGACCGGAUACUGGGAACAACCUUUAGUUGCAGUUCCAGAAAAAUACUAUUUUUCCUUCAACAAAACUCCAGGGGAGUGGUCUGGAAAAGGUUCCAUGUACCCACUGGGUGAUAUUGUCAUAAAAAGUUUACCGCCUAAACCUGGACUUUCUGCACAGUUUUCACUGGAAUUCCUUUCUACCAGGAUUCACUGUAAAGAUAUGACCUAUAAUGUCAAUGAAGAAACAAGUACAACUGCUUCAGGUAAUCUGACCUAUCAGGAGUGUAUCUACGAUGAUGGAACUAAAAUGAAGAAUGAUCAUGGAACUUGGAAUAUGCAGCUUGAUACUGGGACAACGGUGAAACCCUAUAUAUACAAGGAAUAC
rnacentral:misc_RNA from 1 species